GUGGGGAAUCUUGCGCAAUGGGCGAAAGCCUGACGCAGCCAUGCCGCGUGAAUGAUGAAGGUCUUAGGAUUGUAAAAUUCUUUCACCGGGGACGAUAAUGACGGUACCCGGAGAAGAAGCCCCGGCUAACUUCGUGCCAGCAGCCGCGGUAAUACGAAGGGGGCUAGCGUUGCUCGGAAUUAAUGGGCGUAAAGGGCGCGUAGGCGGACAGUUUAGUCAGAGGUGAAAGCCCAGGGCUCAACCUUGGAAUUGCCUUUGAUCUUGGCUGUCUUGAGUACGGGAGAGGUGAGUGGAACUCCGAGUGUAGAGGUGAAAUUCGUAGAUAUUCGGAAGAACACCAGUGGCGAAGGCGACUCACUGGCACGUUACUGACGCUGAGGCGCGAAAGCGUGGGCAGCAAACAGGAUUAGAACCCCCGGUAGUCC
rnacentral:rRNA from 1 species